rnacentral:rRNA from 1 species
ACGGGGUGCAGCAGGCGCGAAACCUCUGCAAUGCGGGAAACCGUGACAGGGGGAUCCCAAGUGCUCAUGCAUUGCAUGGGCUGUUCUUUGGUCUAAGUAACCAGAGGAGUAAGGGCUGGGCAAGACCGGUGCCAGCCGCCGCGGUAAUACCGGCAGCUCAAGUGGUAGCCGCGAUUAUUGGGCCUAAAGCGUUCGUAGCCGGAUAAGUAAGUCUUUGGUUAAAUCCUGCAACUCAACUGUGGGAAAUCUAGGGAUACUGCUUGUCUUGAGACCGGGAGAGGUAGAGGUACUCCUAGGGUAGGGGUGAAAUCCUGUAAUCC